rnacentral:rRNA from 1 species
UUGCUGGAGAUACUAUUAGACUUGAGAUCGGGAGAGGUCAGAGGUUACGUCCUGGGGGUAAGGGGGUGAAAAUCCCUGGUAAAUCCCUAGGAGGACCACCUGUGGCGAAGGCGUCUGACUAGAACGAAUCUGACGGUGAGGAACGAAAGCUAGGGGCGCGAACCGGAUUAGAUACCCGGGUAGUCCUAGCCGUAAACUAUGCGGACUUGGUGUGAGGGUGGCUUUUGAGCCGUCCUGGUGCCGAAGGGAAGCUGUUAAGUCCGCCGCCUGGGAAGUACGGUCGCAAGACUGAAACUUAAGGAAUUGGCGGGGAGCACCACAACGCGUGGAGCCUGCGGUUUAAUUGGAUUCAACGCCGGAGAUCUCACCAGCGGCGACAGCAGUAUGAUGACCAGGUUGAUGACCUUGUUUGACAAGCUGAGUGGAGGUGCAUGG